rnacentral:rRNA from 1 species
AACGAACGCUGGCGGCAUGCCUAACACAUGCAAGUCGAACGAGACCUUCGGGUCUAGUGGCGCACGGGUGCGUAACGCGUGGGAACCUGCCCUUAGGUUCGGAAUAACUCCCCGAAAGGGGUGCUAAUACCGGAUAAUGUCUUCGGACCAAAGAUUUAUCGCCUUUGGAUGGGCCCGCGUUGGAUUAGCUAGUUGGUAUGGUAAAAGCCUACCAAGGCGACGAUCCAUAGCUGGUCUGAGAGGAUGAUCAGCCACACUGGGACUGAGACACGGCCCAGACUACUACGGGAGGCAGCAGUGGGGAAUAUUGGACAAUGGGCGAAAGCCUGAUCCAGCAAUGCCGCGUGAGUGAUGAAGGCCUUAGGGUUGUAAAGCUCUUUUACCCGGGAUGAUAAUGACAGUACCGGGAGAAUAAGCUCCGGCUAACUCCGUG